GCCAUCUUGUGGUGCCUGAGGGCUGGUGCCGGCAGGCGGGCCGUUGCGCCGGGCGUGCACGAAGGCCGGCUUUUGGGGACAUUGCCCACGCUGCUAUGGAGAGAAGAGAAAACACUGUGAAGCCUCUCUGCCCUUGGGAUAUUUCUGUGGGAGAGCUGCAGCUGUGGGGACAGUUUCCACCUCAAUAUUGGUAUUUUGGAGUCUCACUCCGAGCCCCAGCUCCUUCUAAGGGCACGGGGAAGUGCUUUCCCAGUGGAAGCCACCUCAGCAACACAGGACUGCCUUACACUCGUUUCUGAACAGGUUCCUUCAGAUACUGCGUAAGACAUUUGAGACUCUGCUACAAGAUCUCUUCCUUUCAAUUUUCCUUUUUAUCUCUAAUUAAACUGCUAGCAUGGAGCCUGCUAAUCAUAUACUUACAGCUAUUGAGUCCCCUUGUUCUGUCUCCUGUUGGACUUGCUUCUGUUUAUCAGUGUCUUUUGUAUUCUGUGGAGUUCAAACUGAGUACAGUGCUCCAGAUAUGAUCUCACAAGUGCUGGGUAGAGAACAUCCCUGGAGGCACUUUGAUGUCAGCAGGUGUCUCUCACAUUCAGAAAGGAUCUCUGCUGAAGACCAGGAAAUGCAAGAUGAUUUGAAAGAACCCAGCAAUCUAGAGGAAUUAAGACAUUCAUUCCAAAGAGCUAUGGACAAACUAGUGAAAGAUAUUGAGCUUACAUUACAGGAAACCCAGAAUAAUGAUAACAAGAGGCACAGGAAGCAGCAACAAGUAAAGAUGCAGGGAGCCUCGAGUGACAUACCAACAUCAUAUUUCAUCUCAGACAAUACAACUGAGAACAUGGAUUGUAGGAGUCAUACAGCACACUUGGAUGGGAUGGGAAGAACCAGUGUUUUGCAGCCUGAAGUAUCCACCAAUGUGGAAGAGCAGAAAGAGCUCUGCUGCAUGCAGGUCACAGCUGCUGACAUUGAACUUCAGAGGAUGUGGUGUAAUUUUGUGCUGGCUGAACAGAAAUAUGAAUAUGAAGAGAUAAUGGCGCAGAUUCAUCGUCAGAAAGCGAACAAGAGAGGAAGAGGGGACAAGAAGUGCAACAGAGAAGAUCAUGCCUGAAAACAAUCCACUACUUUGAAUGCCAACGAGGCGAAGUUCAGCAGGUCAGAUAACCCCCAGCAGAAAGAAGGGGAACACAGCGGUAAGACUGUAUGCUUUCAUUGCCUCCGCUGAGCAAAAUUAAAACCACAUUACACCGAACGUUACCGGCGACACUGAGCAAAGGAACUGUGAGAGCCCUGCACUUGCUCACGUUGCCUCAGCAGGCAGGGAGGAGGGGAGGUUACGGAGCAGCUCUCCACCCGUCCCAUCUCAGCAGCUCCACAACGGGCACGGGAGCUCCGGCGGUCCCGGGACAGACACGGCAGCCCCAUCCCGGCACGGCACUGAGAAAGCCGCCAGGAGCCUCGCCCAAGCCCGGCCCCACCGGGGUGCCCUAAGGCUGCUCAGAAGGACAGGCUGCGAGCGAUGGGAGUGCUGGGCGAGGAGGAGUUACCCGCUGUCCCCAACAACGUGCGACAAAGAAACCUUGGAGAUCCUCAGUAAAACUGUGGUUGGUGUUACUGUGCUGUCAGAAAUAGCAAUUCCUACAUGGAAAAGGAUGGAAGUGUGGAGCAGUAGCGUUG